rnacentral:rRNA from 1 species
UGGUGAUGGGBGCCUGUCCCCCGUGCUUUGCGGCGGGACUCGCCUGAAAAGCAUCGGCGUCCGGCGGCUGGUCUUGCGCGUAGCAGAUUGUUCGCACAAGGGCCGGCCCGCAGGGCUGCCGCAUACGUCAAUUGCAUCUCGUAGUUUGACCUCGGAUCAGGUAGGGAUACCCGCUGAACUUAAGCAUAUCAAUAAGCGGAGGAAAAGAAACCAACAGGGAUUGCCUCAGUAACGGCGAGUGAAGCGGCAACAGCUCAAAUUUGAAAUCUGGCUCCUUGCGGGGUCCGAGUUGUACUUUGCAGAGGGUGGUUCGGCAACGGCGCCUGUCUAAGUUCCUUGGAACAGGACGUCAGAGAGGGUGAGAACCCCGUACGCGGCAGGUGCCUGCGCCAUGUGAACCCCCUUCGACGAGUCGAGUUGUUUGGGAAUGCAGCUCUAAAUGGGAGGUAUAUUUCUUCUAAAGCUAAAUACUGGCCAGAGACCGAUAGCGCACAAGUAGAGUGAUCGAAAGAUGAAAAGCACUUUGGAAAGAGAGUCAAACAGCACGUGAAAUUGUUGAAAGGGAAGCGCUUGCAACCAGACUUGGCUGCCGCUGUUCAUCGGGGGUCCGUCCCCCGUGCACUCGGCGGCAGGCAGGCCAGCAUCAGUUGGGGCGGCUGGAGAAAGGCCUUGGGAAUGU